UACGGAAGGCAGCAGUGGGGAAUAUUGCACAAUGGGCGAAAGCCUGAUGCAGCUAUGCCGCGUGUAUGAAGAAGGCCUUAGGGUUGUAAAGUACUUUCAUCGGGGAGGAAAAACAAAACUAAUAAUUUUAUUUCUUGACGUUACCCGAAAAAGAAGCACCGGCUAACUCCGUGCCAGCAGCCGCGGUAAUACGGAGGGUGCUAGCGUUAAUCAGAAUUACUGGGCGUAAAGAGCACGUAGGUGGUUUUUUUAAGUUCAGAUGUGAAAUCCCUGGGCUUAACCUAGGAACUGCAUUUUGAAACUGAAAUACUAGAGUAUCGUAGAGGGAGGUAGAAUUCUAGGUGUAGCGGUGAAAUGCGUAGAUAUCUGGAGGAAUACCUGUGGCGAAAGCGGCCUCCUAAACGAAUACUGACACUGAGGUGCGAAAGCGUGGGGAGCAAACAGGGAUUAGAUACCCGU
rnacentral:rRNA from 1 species